rnacentral:snoRNA from 1 species
AAUCAAUGAUGAAACCUAUCCCGAAACUGAUUACCUGAAGAAAGGCACAUACGGAUUCGGCUUCUGAGAU